rnacentral:rRNA from 1 species
UACCCGCUGUUUAAGCAUAUCACUAAGCGGAGGAGAAGAAACUAACCAGGAUUUCCCUAGUAACGGCGAGCGAACCGGAAAGAGCCCAGCUUGAAAAUCGUGGUGCCUCGCACCUCGAGUUGUAGUCUGGAGAAGGUCCCUCUGCGACGCGCCGGACCCAAGUUCCCUGGAAAGGGACGUCAUCGAGGGUGACAACCCCGUCCGCGCCCGGAACGCGUCGCUCCACGAGGACCUGUCUGCGAGUCGGGCUGUUUGGGAAUGCAGCCCUAAGCGGGAGGUAAAUUCCUUCCAAGGCUAAAUAUGGGCAAGAGACCGAUAGCGAACAAGUACCGCGAGGGAAAGAUGAAAAGGACUUUGAAAAGAGAGUUAAAAAGUGCUUGAAAUUGCUGGGAGGGAAGCGAAUGGAAGCUGCGGGUGCGCCCCGGUUGGAUGUGGAACGGCUUCGGCUGGUCCGCCGCUCAACGCGGGGCGCUGGUCAGCGUGGGCCAUCGCGCCGGGACAAGAGCAGGGAUUCGCUUCCUGCCUAUGCCGGUGCGGUGGCCGAGGAACGAAGCGCGCGCCUCCUUCGGGACGGCGUGGGUUCGCCCAACUGCGCGCUCGGGACGCUGGCGUAUUGAGCUCUUCAUCCGACCCGUCUUGAAACACGGACCAAGGAGUCUAACAUGUAUGCGAGCCGGUGGGCGGCAAACCCAUUGAGGCGCAAGUAACUGACAGGUGGGACCCCGACCGCGAGGGAGGGAGCACCAUCGACCGACCGUGAUCUUCUGUGAAGGGUUCGAGUUGUGAGCA